rnacentral:rRNA from 1 species
GAAGUCGGAUGCUAUACAUGCAGUCGAGCGAACAGAAAAGGAGCUUGCUCCUUUGACGUUAGCGGCGGACGGGUGAGUAACACGUGGGCAACCUACCCUAUAGUUUGGGAUAACUCCGGGAAACCGGGGCUAAUACCGAAUAAUCUCUUUUGCUUCAUGGUGAAAGACUGAAAGACGGUUUCGGCUGUCGCUAUAGGAUGGGCCCGCGGCGCAUUAGCUAGUUGGUGAGGUAACGGCUCACCAAGGCGACGAUGCGUAGCCGACCUGAGAGGGUGAUCGGCCACACUGGGACUGAGACACGGCCCAGACUCCUACGGGAGGCAGCAGUAGGGAAUCUUCCACAAUGGGCGAAAGCCUGAUGGAGCAACGCCGCGUGAGUGAAGAAGGUUUUCGGAUCGUAAAACUCUGUUGUAAGGAAAAAACAAGUACAGUAUUAUGUGCGUGUACCUUGACGG